ACGGGAGGCAGCAGUGAGGAAUAUUGGUCAAUGGGCGGAAGCCUGAACCAGCCAUGCCGCGUGAAGGAAGACGGCCCUAUGGGUUGUAAACUUCUUUUGUAGUGGAGCAAUAAGGUCUACGUGUAGAUCGAUGAGAGUACAUUACGAAUAAGCAUCGGCUAACUCCGUGCCAGCAGCCGCGGUAAUACGGAGGAUGCAAGCGUUAUCCGGAUUUAUUGGGUUUAAAGGGUGCGUAGGCUGUCUGGUAAGUCAGGGGUGAAAGCCCAGUGCUCAACACUGGAACUGCCUUUGAUACUGUCAGGCUGGAAUACUGUUGCCGUGGGAGGAAUGAGUAGUGUAGCGGUGAAAUGCAUAGAUAUUACUCAGAACACCGAUUGCGAAGGCAUCUCACGAAACAGCGAUUGACGCUGAGGCACGAAAGCGUGGGGAUCAAACAGGAUUAGAUACCCUGGUA
rnacentral:rRNA from 2 species